UACGAAGGGUGCUAGCGUUGCUCGGAAUUACUGGGCGUAAAGGGUUCGUAGGCGGUCUAUUAAGCCAGUGGUGAAAUCCUGAGGCUCAACCUCAGAAUUGCCAUCGGGACUGGUAGGCUAGAGAAAGUUAGAGGAAAGUGGAAUUCCUAGUGUAGGAGUGAAAUCCGUAGAGAUUAGGAGGAAUAUCGAUGGCGAAGGCAGCUUUCUGGGACUUUUCUGACGCUGAGGAACGAAAGCGUGGGUAGCAAACAGG
rnacentral:rRNA from 1 species